rnacentral:rRNA from 1 species
GGACGAACGCUGGCGGCGUGCUUAACACAUGCAAGUCGAGCGGUAAGGCUCCUUCGGGAGUACACGAGCGGCGAACGGGUGAGUAACACGUGAGCAAUCUGCCCUUCACGUUUGGGAUAACGUUACCGGAAACGGAAGCUAAUACCGAAUACGACCAUUGCAGACAUCUGUUGAUGGUGGAAAGUUCCGGCGGUGAAGGAUGAGCUCGCGGCCUAUCAGCUAGUUGGUGGGGAACAGCCCACCAAGGCGACGA